UAUUUAAGCGGCUGCCAAAGACAAGGCAAACUGCUCUAUUUACAGCUACCCAAACUAAGCAGGUUGAGGAUUUU